GGUGCAAGGCGUUAAAUCGGAAUUACUGGGCGUAAAGCGUGCGCAGGCGGCUUUGCAAGACAGAUGUGAAAUCCCCCGGGCUCAACCUGGGAACUGCAUUCGAGACUGCAUUGCUAGAGUAUGGGAGAGGGAAGUGGAAUUUCCGGUGUAGCGGUGAAAUGCGUAGAUAUCGGAAGGAACAUCAGUGGCGAAAAGCGACUUCCUGGACCAAUACUGACGCUCAUGUGCGAAAGCGUGGGGAGCAAACAGG
rnacentral:rRNA from 1 species